rnacentral:lncRNA from 1 species
CUAAUAGUAAAUACAUCUCAAAGAUAACUAUAUAUCAUUAUUCAACGAGCAACAGCUUCCAAUGAAUAUAAUGGUUCACAUCCUUCCUCUGCGCGUGAGGUGGACAUGAAGCGGGUGGAGCUUGUAGGCGGUGAGCUGCACGGUGUCCACCUUCUCCUCGUCACCCUCCCUCAGCCUCCACCCGAACUCCUGCACGAAGCGCGCGACGGCGGCGCACGCGAUGUGAGUCGCCUGCAGGCUCCCCGCGCAGGCCCUCCUCCCGGCGCCGAACGCCAUCGUCUUGUACAUGUCCGCCACCUCGAGCCUCCCGCCGGCGAACCUCUCCGGCACCCACUCCUCCGGCGACUCCCACUCCUUCCUGUUCAUGUUGCACCCGUACAGGUUGAUCACCAUCUGCCACAUGACCAUCACUUGUUAGAUUGUUAGGGGAUUUUGAUCACUGAUCGGCGAGUUGACCAGUGAUUAAAAUUUUGGACUCCCCAGGCAAGCAAUUAUAUCCCACCCGAAAACUCUACGAGAAGUCAAGAACGACAAGUUUGCCUGAUAUGAUAAAAAAUACUCCGUCCAAAAAUAUAAGAACCUAGCACAUGAUAGAAAAUUUCCUAGUAUUAGGAUAGAGGAAAUGUCAUAUCCGAUUCUAGGCUUCUAUAUUUUAGGACAGAGGGAGUAUUGGAUUUCAACGGGAUGUGCCAAGGCAGGUUUGAAACAAGGAUAUAGAAGAAAAGUGUAGCUUAAUCUUGUGUUAUUUUUAUUCAAAGCUUGUUUUCUUAUGGUCCACUGUGGAUAUAGAGGUCAGAUUUCUAUCAAUUAUCUUAAAAAUAACGCCCAAAAUUUUCAGAAUUUUCCAAAGUUUUGUGAAUUUGGUCAAAAUUUUAUACAAAUUCGGUUAAAAACUCAAAUAAUUUCGUGCAAAACAAGUACCGAAAACACGAAAGUUUCGGCCCGAGUGGUUGUGCUUACCUCGGUGCCGGCGGGGACGUCGUAGCCAGCGAGCUUGGUGUCCUCGUGGACGAACCUCGGAGGUAUGAGCGGGACAGGGGAGUGGCGGCGCAGCGUCUCGUGGAAGACGGCGUUGAGGUACGGCAGCCGUGGGAGGUGCUCCUCGGUGACCGUCUCGUCGCCGCACACCUCCCGGAUCUCUUGGUAAAGCCGUUCCUGGCAUGACAACAAGAAGAAGGCCAAAAAUAAAAAGCUUUGGUUGAUAAUGCCAAGAAUGCCAACAAUGAGCUGGAACAGAGUAACAAUAUUUCUUGCCUGUUUGUCAGGGUUCUUGGCAAGCUCAUACAUGGCCCAUUCUGUGGUGACCAAGGUAGUAUCUGCAGCCUCUAUGAGUGCCUCCCACACUAGCAUCAUCAGUUGCUCAUCUGUCAGUGUGUUCUCUGCCAGCAAGAAGUCCAGAUAGCAUGUCUUUGCCUGCACAUAUAUCUCAGUUUCAUGGAGUUAAAAGAUGAUCUCUGCAAGUUUUUUUUUUUUUUUGGCAUAGAAGCAAAUAUGAAAGAUGUCAUUUGUCAAAGUAUGCCUUUCCUCACCUCUCCACGCACAAUCCUUUCCUUCUGCUGCUUGAUCAAGGCGCGCAUCACCGCAGUUCGUCUAGUUUCUGUAGUAAACACUCUUGUUUCGAAGCUCUUGUUUGGAACCCAGCUGAGGUAGGGGAAGAAAUCUCUCCAGUCGACCUCAAUUGCGCACAUCAUCAUGUCGGUCACAGUAGCAUUGUAGAUUUCUUCCUUCGAAAUGUCCCUCCCAAAUUCAUCCACAUAGACUGAACUCACAUCCUCUCCUAAGCUCUGAAGUUUGCGACAUUAAUUGUUAGUGCCAGAAAUAACAAAUCGACCAUCUGACAGUUCAAGUUCAGAGAGACAAUCCAAACCUGGAUCAUGGACAACCGGAAUAGCUCAUCCUUGAAAACAUCUCUGAAUAUCAGAGGAGCAUGUGGGUCAUCUUUCACCAGUUUAUGAAAAGUGCUUAACAUGUUAUGGAUCAUCAUAUCUCUUAUGUCACGAAAUUGUUUCUGAAAUUUAUGGAAGCAUUUGCGUUGUCAGACCACAGAUACUGAAACUCUGAAAGUGUAACUGGUAGCAGAUAAUAAAAUCUGAAAAUGCACACUGGAGUUAUUGAGAAUAAUCAGUACUAAAAAUGAAAAAUGAAAUUGUUGAGAAGUAUACCUGUGCAGAAGUACCCAACAUGCUUGACAUGACAUAACGCUUCACCAUUUUGUGGAAAUCACAAUAGUCGCUGGUAGCAACCAUGGAUUUAUCACGAGUAAGCACUGUCAGUGCUUUGGAUAGCUUUCGGGUAGAUAUGGAUGAGAAUUUUGCAACCAUCGCCUGCAAAAGAGAGUACAGUAAAUCCAUGGUUUCUUGAGACUAUCAUUCUUGAGCUAUGCAAGUCAAUAAAAAUGAUAGACAACUUCCAAGUUACCUCCUUGGCUACUUCAGUUGAAUUGAGCACAACUACAGAAGAAGCCCCGGUUCUUAUAGUGUAGAUUGGCCCGUAAAUUUCAGCCCAUUUUGCAAAGGUCUGAUGAGGCUUCUUUUCUUUCAGUUGAUGCAGAUUUCCGAUAAUGGGUAAACCAGGAACAGCUGCAUGACAAUGAAAUAGAAUCAUAGAAUCAUAGGAGACUUAGAACUUGCACACUAGACUAAAAACUUGAAAUGAGUUAUUCUGAUAAUUUGUUUGCAUAGAUGAUAACACCAUAUAUUCAUGCAAGUAACUAGCCUAGUGAUGAAUUAGUGUUGUCCCUUUCUUCGGUGAUGUUGUCAGAUUUUGUCAGAUAUUGACAUGAUGAUGGUCGAAUAGAAUUAGGUGACUAUAGACCACAAUAAUUAAUACUUUGCACUCUCAACUCACAAGUGGGUCAACAAAAUAUAUACACUCCAUCUGUUUCAUAUUAUAAAUUGUUUUGACUUUUUCUUUAAAUCAAACUUCUUGAAAGUUUGAUCAAGUUUAUAAAAAAAAUAUAGCAAUACUUAUAGAACUAAAUUAGUUUAUCUACAUUGAACAUAUUUUCAUAGUUUCUUUAUUUCAAUUUGAUUGAACCUAAAGAAGUUUGACUUAUAAAAAAUCAAAAUGAAUAGCGCUGAUCUGAAUAUUUUCAAAAUUCUCCUGUUCGUUUCUAUGGGUCAUCAGGUUUUUCUUUAUUUAUUAUGCCAUUUACUCUCCUUUUUUUUCUGCCUUGGACUCUUGGUGCUGUCCAUACACAUUCUGCCAUUCGCAUAGACAUGCCGAUUGGGUUUGGUUAAGUACAUAUUGUCGAUGUUGUUCCACGAACACAUGAUGUACCAUGUGUCUCCAGUGAAAGUGGGAGUCUUUUGUCUACUUAUACUAUAUUUACUUUUUUAAAAUUUUGAUAUAUCAAAAGGAAGAUUGAAAAACAAUCGACAAAUUUAGGGAAUGUCAUUUCAGUUAUGUUUGCAAAGUAAUAACGCGAGUUAUGUGAAUUUAUUGGCUGUUAAUGGAAAACAGAUGUAUGUCCUUCCAUCAUCAUGGGGCAAUAAGCGCAAGCUAACACAGCACGAAAUCUUUAUAAAACAGAGGAACAAAUUUGGAAGCUUUUUAUGGAUUAAUGAAAGUUUUCUAAAGUUUGUUAAGGUUAUGACAUACUAUACAAAAAGCUAGUCUCUAUGUGAUAUCAUUAAAUUCUUUACUUAGAAUGUUUCACUCUAUGAUAGUUUCCUAAUUUUCAAAUCCACACUACGUUAAUCAGAAGAACUAAUGUGCUAGAGAAAAAAAUCAAGAGAACAAUAAUUACCAAAAAAACUGCUAUCCAAGUGGUCCGAUGAGGAUAGCUUUGGGAAAAGCUACUGCAAUUGAAAAAUCAAUUUCUACAGUUGCAACUGAAAAAUCACGCUCCCAGCCAAAAAUAAACGGAAGGCUACAGUAAGUCACUGGUAAGAAAGGCGUUCCGCUUUAUGCUUCAUACAAAUUUAUAUGUUUAAAUAAAAUUAUUAUCUGCAAACAAGCAAGCUACCGCCAAACCCCUCGGCUCAUCCUCUAUCUGUAAUCCAGCACCGGUUAAUUUGAAGGUACCAGUAAGCAGGAAAUGCCUCUGGCAUAAAAAUUUUAAAUUUGUUUGAAUUUACGGGAGGAGGGGGGAUCAAAUUCAUGAAAAAAUAUUCGAAAUUCCAAAUAUAAAAAAAUCGUCUGAAAUUUUGGUAAUAGCGAGAGAGAAAGGGCUGUCUGUUUGGAGAACAGGCCGUACAGUAACAUAGUGAGGUGUGCGAUUGUUCAGCCCCAAAUCUUAAUUACAUGAAGUGCUAAGUAUAUACUUCUUCCGUCACAUAAAAAAUCAACAUAGUACCGGUAUGAUACAUCAUAGUACUACGAAUAUGAUAGAUCUAUGUCCAGAUUUAUAGUAAUACGAUGUGACACAUCUGGUACUAUGUUGAUUUUUUAGGGACAGAGGGAGUACUUAAUUAGCAGCAUAACUAAAAUGCUAAAGCCCAGACGGUCAGAGAACCUAAGACCCAAAACUAAAAGUAGAAGGCACAACAGGGCUUAAUAUCUAAAGCUAAAUCGAUUAGAACUAGAUGUAAUCAUAUGUUGAGGUCCCAUUAUACCUUUCGCACCAGGACCUCUAAUUCCUUGCUACGCCCUAUUGAAGGGCAUGAAUGCAUGCCCUCUGAAGAGCAACUUGCUUUUUGGUAAAUUUCAUCCAAACAAUUCAAAGUGUGAUCCAGCGAUUCUUGAAACAAUUUGACCUAUCUUUUAUUUAUUCCUUUAUUUAGAAUUCAAUCCUGUUAGUGCAGAAAAUUCAUUCAUUCUCUUCGCAGAUAACGGAAAUGCUUUACAUUUUCGGUCUCUGACAUGAUCACCACGAGGUAUAUCGUUCUACUUGAAUAGAAGAAAAAAAAAGAAUAACUUGAAGAAAAGGAAAAAAAAAGGCAAUGUAAAGCAAAGGAGAGGAUAGAUUCUUCUGAUCGUCUCUGCCUAAAGGCAGGACAAAAGCUUCCGUUUCCAACAAAGGGAGAUCAAAAGGAGGGGAGAAAAUUCAAGAUGUUCCGACGCGAGCAGCGGCAUCAACCGCUGUCUCCGUCUUCGUCUCCGAGUGAUAUCAAUGGAGAGAUCAAGAGAGAGAGAGAGUGAGAAGAGACAGCGGCGGAGAAUGGUGCGAAAAUUGUGGCGAAUGCAAACUUGAUUGGCUCUCAAAUCUUCAAGGGAAUCAAGAGAUCAGAGGUUUUGAUUUCAAGUAGUAGAAACACAACUCUCCAAUUCGUCGGAAAAUUCACCGGUGCGAUGCGAAUCUCACCUGUCUCCACCAAUCGUGAGUGAGUCAUUCGCCAAUCGCGCGCCACUCACCGAGGCGGCAUUCCAUCAAACAAUUACAGCGAGUUAGUGAGAGAGAUGGGGGGCGGCUGACCUGGGGGCGCGUUGGUGCGUUUCCGUGGCGCGAUCACGCCGGCCCUCUCGGCGAGCGCGGCCGCGGCAACGAACCCUCCGACCGCCGCCACCGCCGGCGCCGCCGCCCCCGCGCCACCCGGCACGAACGCCUCCAUGGAUCACACGCUGCGUGCGCGCUCGCCGCCGUCGCCCACUUCACUCGAUCGUGGAGUUGGGGAGGAGAAGCGACAACUCGCGUCGCGCGGUUGCACGUCCAUCCAUACGAGACUAGGCCAUAUAAAGAACGAGAUUCGUUUUUUUUAAAAAAAAAUACGGCCAUUAAUUAAUUUAUUUAUUUUUUUGUUAUCCCGAUGAUGAAAACGACGUGUUUUAACAUGUUCUAAAAUAGCAUCUAACUACAAGAGCUUAGGGAAUAUUGUUAUAGUACUAUUUUGUUUUCUUUCUUUAAUCUAAGAAAAGAAUGGAGGAGCCUACGCAUCGGGCGUCCGAUUAGGGAGGGGAAAAAUCGGGCGCUGACAUCAGCAUGACGCAUGCGUGCAAAACCACUUUAAACUAUUUUUUCUCUUAAAUUAUUUAUCCAAAUUAAAUCAUGAUUCGAUUGCACCAUUAAAUUCGUUGCAAUUAAAUCUUUAAAACAAGACCAUAUAUGGAUAUAUUCUGACAAAAAAAAAUUUAGCUUAUUAUUGAAUUAUUUUUAAAUGUUGCACGAUGUUCCACCAAGUAUAUCAGAAUUGUUUCAAUAAGUAGAUCGAAAAUGUUUCAAUCGUUUAAACUAGACGUUGUUUCACUUUAUAUAAAAACAAUGUUUCAACAACGAAAGAAUGUUUCAGUUCACUGUAACAUUUGAUCUAUACAUAGUGAAACAUUAUAAAUACACUAGUUGAAAUAUUUUUGGUGGAACAAAAAAAGAAACGAAUUCCCUUAAUAGAGGGUUUCUAAAUAUGUGGGUGAUUUGUUGCAAAAAAAUGUUUCAAUUUAUUAAAACAUUAGAUUUAUACAUAGUGAAACAUUGUGAAUAUACUAGGUGAAACAUUUUUUGUGGAAAAAAAUGAAACGAAUUCCCUUAAUAGAGGUUACUGGGCCUAACAUGUAGCGGUUGCAAACAUACGGGUAAAUUUCAUCCAAACAAUUCAAAGUGUGGUCCAGUGAUUCUCGAAACAAUUUGGCCCAUCUUUUAUUUAUUCCUUUAUUUAGAAUUCAAUCCUGUCAGUGCAAUGCCUAUGUUUGUUUGAGAAAAUACUAAACAUCCCAUCAUUCUGUUCGCAGAUAAUGGAAAUGCUUUACAUUUUCGGUCUCUACCAUGAUCACCACGAGGUAUAUCGUUCUACUUGAAUAGAAAAAAAGAAUAACAUGAAGAAAAGGAAAAAAAGGCAAUGUAAAGCAAAGGAGAGGAUAGAUUCUUCUGAUCGUCUCUGCCUAAAGGCAGGACAAAAGCUUCUGUUUCCAUCAAAGGGAGAUCAAAAAGGAGGGGAGAAAAUUCAAGAUGUUCCUACGCGAGCAGUGGCAUCAACCGCUGUCUCCGUCUCCGCCUCCGUCUCCGAGUGAUAUCAAUGGAGAGAUCAAGAGACAGAGAGUGAGAAGAGACAGUGACGGAGAACGGUGCGAAAAUUGUGGCGAAUGCAAACUUGAUUGGCUCUCAAAUCUUCAAAGGGAAUCAAGAGAUCAGAGUUUUUGAUUUCAAGCAGCAACACACAUCUCCAAUUCCUCAGAAACUCACCGGUGCGAUGCGAAUCUCACCUCUCUCCACCAAUUCGCCGAUCGCGCGCCACUCACCGAGGCGGCAUUCCAUCAAACAGUGACAGCGGGUGAGUGAGAGAGAUGCAGAGAUUGGUGGGGGGGCGGCUGACCUGGGGGCGCGUUGGAGCGUUUCCUUGGCGCGAUCACGCCGGCCCUCUCGGCGAGCGCGGCCGCAGCGACAAACCCUCCAACUGCCGCCACCGCUGCUGCCCCGACCCCGCCGGGAGUACAAACUAAAGAUCCUAACUUUAGUCCCGAUUGGUGUUACGAACCGGAAUACAAAGGUUUCUCCACCUGUGACUCGUCCAGGAACAGCAGCCAGAGCUACGUGCUGACCAAGGGAUGGAGCCGAUUCGUGAGGGAGAAGGGCCUCUGCGCCGACGAGCUGCUCUUCAUCGACUGCUAGAAGAACAACACGGCGGCGGCCACCGGCGACGAGAAGCCAAUUACAAGCAGCGAAGCAGCACGUGUCGUGAGGCUGUUCGGCGUGGACAUCGCCGGAAGCGGGAGAGGGCGGUGGAAAUGGGGCAAGAGGCGUUCGUGCCGCAUGUGCGCGCGGGCUAAGAGCUGCGGCGGCGCGGCCCAGGUGGUGCGGAAGCGGAAGGCCCAUGAAAUCGGGUGGGCCCAUUAGCACAGCGGGCCAACGCGGGAGCGAGGUCGACCGUCCGAUCUGUUGGACGGCCAGGAUCUCCCCCGUGCCGGAGAAAUCGCCGGCGGCUGAGGUAAACCCUAAUCCCCCUUUCUAUUCUUCUCUUCUCCCCGAUCUCUCCCGGCGAGGGAGCGUGUGAGUGGGUGCCGGCGAUGGCGGAGACGGCGAGGUGGAGCACGCGUGCGACGACGAGCGCCGAGCGGCUCCAUCUGCGCCGGCUGGGGGGGUGCGCCCGUGGGCAGCACCAAGCCGUGGUCCGGCGAGCGCCGUGCGGCCCGGACCUCGUCGGCGGGGCCUGGCGCGACCGCGAUGGAUGAGAUGGCGGCGAGGCCACUUCCUGUUGAUUCCCGGUGCGAUGCGAAUCUCACCCCUCUCCACCGAUGGUAAGUGCCAAUCCCCACCACUCACCAAGGCGGCAUUCCAUCAAACAGUGACAGUGAGUGAGUGAGAGAGAGAUUGAGAGAUGGGGGGGGGGGGGGCGGCUGACCUGGGGGCGCGUUGGGGCGUUUCCUUGGCGCGAUCACGCCGGCCCUCUCGGCUAGCGCGGCCGCGGCGACGAACCCUCCGACCGCCGCCGCCGCCGCCCCCGCGCCGCCCGGCACGAACGCCUCCAUGGAUCACACGCUGUGCGCGCGCUCGCCGCCGUCGCCCUCGUCCGCUUCACUCGAUCGUGGAGUUGGGGAGGAAAAGCGACAACUCGCGUCGCGCGGUUGCGAUGCGAGACUAAGCCAUAUAUAGAACGAGAUUCGUUUUUUUUUAAAAAAAAAAAACUGCCAUUAAUCUUUUUUUUUCGUUAUCCCGACAAAAAGGAGGUGUUUUGACACGUUCUUUUUUCUUUCUUUUUUAGAACAAUUUGACACGUCCCGAAAUGGCAUCUACUACAAGAGCUUAGGGAAUAUUGUUAGUACUAUUUUGUUUUCUUUCUUUAUGCUAAUAGAAGAAUAUACAUAAAUGAUUGCUCUGUUUUUAUUAAUAUAGGACGUUGUUUCGUUUUGGAUGGUGACGUUUAACCAUUCGUGCUAGAAUAAAGUUUAAUGUGCAUAUAAAAAUAUGUAAGUCAUAAUUAAAGUACUCAUGCGGUUCCAUGAAACAAAUCACAAUAAAAACAAGGUUACUAGUAGUUACUAUAAAGGAGAUUGGUGUAUAUAUUAAGUUUUUAUUGUAUAAUUACUUCUUAUAUGGUCAAUGCUCUUCACAAUUUUCUUUUUAAAAACAAAAAAGGUUACUAGAAGGAGAUUGGUACAUAUGGGAAGUUAAAAAAAAAAAACUUGCUUCGAGAGCAAUGAAUUCUAUCGUCUUUGUCUCAAUUCUAAUAAGGCCUUGUCGCCUUGAAGUUAUUUUUAAAGAGUGUCAUGUAGAUUUUCAUAAUAAUAUGGAGGAGAUGAGCUACCCUUGUAUAAGACGCACACUCUACAAGAUACAAGAGACGAAAGAAAAUUUUCAUAAUAAUAUGGAAGAGAUGAGCUACCCUCAUAUAAGACGCACACUCUACAAGAUACAAGAGAUGAAAGAAAAGGACCAAUAAAUUAAGAGUAAAUAAGUUAGGUAUUUGGGCAGAUAUACUACAUGAAAUAUGUUGUGUGUGUCCUGAUUAAUGAGCACUACACUACUACUAGAUGAUGCCGCUGGAAAAUCCUAGUGCACAAAAUGAUAUUUUCACAAGCUUUGAACGUACUUCUCCGUGCGCUAAUAUAGAUUAGUGCAAAUGAUAUUUUCACUAGCUUCGUAACUUAUCAAAAUUAGAAGCUUGUGAUGUUGCACGGAAAAUAUUGUACUUCUCCGUAAAUCUUAGAAAAUAAUAUAGAUAAAAUUAGAAGUGACCAUUAUCUUAAUUAUUAAACUUGUGCUGCUAGUUAGGCAUAAUUGUUAUUGUAUACCACGUAAAAGCUUGUGAUUCCGAUAUAGCAAAAUAUAUUGUUCACAUAGAACUAUAUAAUAGACAUAUAAAACCAUGGAUGUAUGUAUUAUAAUACUGAAAAACCAGCUGGUGAUAGUGCAGAUACACAUCCAUAGGAAGAGUAUUAGGUCCAUGCACGGCAUGUUUAUAUUUAUAUUUACUAGCUACUUUGUUACAGAUUAAAAUAAAUUAUACAUGUGCUAAUAUUGCUUAAAAGAAAAUUAAUUGUUACUUUUUAGGAAUAAUUUCAUUCCUUUAGAUGUCUUUGCAUAAUAUCAAAUAAGAUAGAAUCAUACUAGGACUAUUUUUGUAAUAUUAAAACAAAUGAAGUAGUUAAUAAAAAAGUAUCUAUACAACAAAAUUAAUGUGGUGGCAGAUACUAUUGCUUUCUUUUAGAAAACCUAAGGUGGUGUUUUUUUCUGAAUAAGAUAGAGAUAUUUCUAUUAGCACGUUUUUCAAACUGCUAAAUAGUGUGUUUCGUAUAAAACCUUUCUAUAAAAAAUUGCCUUAAAUAUUAAAUCAAUCUAUUUUUUCAUGUUUAUAUAAUAAUUAAAACUUAAUUAAUCUAUUAAUGGCUUUCUUUUUCCGUGUGCUAACUUUAUCUUUAAUUUUUAUCUUUUUUACAAAAGAACACCACCUAGAGAUUGCUGGACCUAACGUGUAGCGGUUGCAAACAUACGGAUAAUCUGCAUUUCAGGAUAAUCUUCAUUUCGUCUGAUCUGCUUUGUCAGGUAUUUGCUGCAUGCGACAUGCCACUACUGUCUCGAGUUUUUGACUCGCUCUAUGACAAAAGAACCAGGAGCAUUGAUCCCAUCCGGGUUUGUUUUGAGAGAUUCCUCUUGUCUUGCAUGGAAGCGACCGUUGUACUUUCACAUUGCAAUGUUAGGCCCUUAAUUCUUGUUGUUGCUGUUACAAAAAAAGAUGAUCAUUGAGUAGGAGUACUUACAAUCCCAAUUACCCAUUUGUAUAUCUAUCAUUAUUCUCUUAACGGUACCUUAUCGUUUGAUGAUGAUAUUAUACACUGGUGUUGACAUCUGUUUGAUGUUCACCUUAACCAAGAGUAGAUUUUUUGGGGUACAUAUAUAGAAGAAUCGUUUAUUUUGUCUAUAUUGGACUGUUGAUGUUGGACUGUUUAAUUAGUUCAACAUAAUAUAUGUCAUACUUUUGUAAUGGAGUAGGAAAGCUAACGGGCUCCUUAAAAUUUAAGAUGCCACAUGGCCCCUUAAAAUUAAAGUGAAAGCAAAUUUAAACACAAUUUGAUUAACCUGCAAAUUUAAACACAAUUUGAUUAACCUGCAAAGUCGAAUUGAUCCAACGGGAGCCACCUCCCAAGCAGGUACAGCAGGCGCCCUACCUCCACCAUUACCGAAGUGCCGACUGCUAUGUUGAUUGGCGUUUUGGCGACGAUGCCUGACAAACGCUAUUUGAUCAUCCAGUACUCCCAACUUUAAUCCAGCCUACCAAAAAAAAAAAAAGAACACUUAAAUCUAGCCGACAGCCGAGAUACAUAUGGGGUGUCCUCAUCUCAAGCAUCAUCCACCUUUAGAGAAAGGUGAAAGCAAAGCCUUAUCUUCAUGUCUAGGGCCAUGCUGAUCGAAAAGUCUAAGAAAUUGACAUGCAUGCUUGUUUCAGCAUAUUAUUAUCAGUGGCAGCCAAUUUUUUUUAACUUAACUGUAAAAUUAAUUUACUGCUUUUUUAUCGUUUUGUUUUUAUCCUUGGCUUUUAAACUGCCAAGAGUAGAUGUUAAAACCUUUAGCCUAAAAUGAUUUAUUACAUUGUAUUGGUCACAUUUCUUAGACUUGUGUAAGCCAAAGCCCAAGAAAUAGAUGGAAUAAGUUCACUUUUAGUCUCUCUAUUUGUCGCCAGACCGAUUUUCGUCCUUUGACCAUAAAACCAGGUACGACCCGUCCCCUAACUUACGAAAACGGGGCAAACGACGUCCCUCGGCGGUUUUGAAGGCGGUUUUGAUUGACGUGGCGCCUAUGUGGCUUGUUUGACUAGGUCUCCAUCCCACGUGGCACUUAUGUGACAAUUAAUUAUAUCUCGGAAAAAUAAUAAAAAGCGUCAUGAAUCAUACCUGUACCACAUCUCGAGGGAUCAAAUCGACAGCGAAUCAUACCUGUACCAGGACGAUCAAAACUAACACGAGCAAUCUCAGGGGAGAAGCCACCCCGGUGGCGAGUAGUCCGACGGGCUUUGCUCCGGCAAGAAGCUGUCCACACGCGGAACCGCCGCCGCCGCCGCCGGUAGCCACUUGCCGGUGUCUCUGCAGGGAUAUCGCCGUCGCCGAGCCGUGAACACUGCCGACUCGCGGUAGAGCCUCCCGUCAUCCAGGAAGUAGACGCCCUCGCCGAACUCAUCGCCCGGAUAGUCGCCCGCGUCAUACGAUCUGGAGCAGCCUCGCGCGACGAACAGCAUCCGCCCACCCAGCGAUUCCAGCUCCUUCCAUGCGUACAGGGCCUCGAUGCGCGUGCCCGACAGCGGCUCCACCAUCUCGAACACCUUGAACGCGGACGUCCUCGGCGGCGCCAUCCGCUGCCCAGGAAGGAGAGAGAGAGGGGAAAGGAGUGAGGAGUGAGGCUAACAUGUGGGGCCCACGUGGGCCUCACAAUUUUAAAAAUAUUUUUGUGUGCAGCUGACAUGUGGGGUCAUGCUUUUUAUUAUUUUUCCAGGAUAUAAUUGCCACGUAAGCGCCACGUCAAUGCCACGUGGGAUGGAGACCUAGUUAAACAAGCCACGUAGGCGCCACGUCAGCCAAACCUUCUUCAAAAUCGCCGAGGGACCUCGUUUGCCCGGUUUUUAUAAGUUGGGGGAUGGGUUGUACCCGGUUUUACGGUUGAGGGACAUAAAUCGGACUGGGCGACAAAUAGAGGGACCCAAAGUCGACAAAUAGAGGGACACAAAUACGUACCUAACAGGCCCAUGGUCGAUCGUGUGACAAUCAUACGAGGACACCUCUCUAAAUUCCAUUCCUAAUGGGCCUAUUUAUAUUGGCGGGCGAAAAACAUCACCCGUCCCCACCCCCAUAGGAUACCUGGUGGGUGACCGGGGCCCGCAUCACCCGGAUGGAGUUAAUACUCCAUAAAAAUAUUGCAAUACACUGAAUAAGUAUGAUAAAAUUUCAUUAGCCCCCGGCGAUGGGGUUGGUUGUAGGAAGAAAAGGGAUUAGGGUUGAUGGGAAUUAGAAUGUUAAGAUGGGAAGUCAGGUUUACACCAUGCCCUAGCAUGACUGUGUAAUUGACAAGUCCCCUCCUCCAGCGGAAAGGUCCUUUCUUAGUUGCUAGUGUUCUGUGCUCAGAUUUUGUAGGCUGGUUGCCGAAGAGGAAGCCUUGUCGCCCCCAUAAUCCGUGCACAAAAGCAUCCAUCUUUCAAGAAUUAAUCAUCCAUUCAAGUUUCAAGUAUUUUUCAAAUUUUCAAUUCAUCAGCAUAACACAGCAUGAAAUGUUAUAUUAAAUUUCCCCCCAUUCUAUUCUCAUGGCCCUGCAACGCUCGUGUGUUGCGCAUUUGUUUGCUCCCUCGGUGGGAAAAGCCUAACCUCUCUCCCAUCUACAUGGAUGAUUCUUCGCUAAGUGUGGGGGCUAAGUUUUCUAGCCCUAUCCUAGCAUUAAGUUGAGCCCUAGGCGCCAUCAAAGCCCGGACCGCCAUGUUGGCUCUUCUGUAGCGGCUGAUUGGGUCCCGUCGACUGGCUAUGGUGCCUGGCCCGGCUCUGCUGUGGACGGGGAUUGCUGGCUCUAGAGUUUUUCGGCUCUCACACUCGUGCGAAAGUAGUCAUAUGUGUAGAAGGAAGAAAGAUUGAAGGAGGCCACCGAAAGGAAAGAGUGAACAAAAUGUGUAGCAUGGGGGAGUAGGCUCGUGGGAACCUGACCUCGUUUCCUAAGUGGUCGCAGGCUUCCCUAAAUGGUUCGGAGCCCAUGGUGGGAAGCCCUCUUCGAGCCAAAGGUUUGAAAGGUUGCGACGUGCAAGCAAGAUGAACCAAGUGACACUCUCAAACAAGGAUGAACAAAGGUAACAAAGGAAGUAUUACAGUACCCGGGCCAAAGCAGACACCUCUAGGAAAGCUCCGCGUUGGCUAGGGGUUUUUUCUAAGCAUAGCAUUUUUAAUACUUCCUUUAAGUUUAUAUCUUCCUUGUUCAUGCUUAUCAGCAAAAUUUACAAAUCCAUGAAACCAUUUGUCCAGCAUGAUUAAAAUUAUGGCUUAUAAAUAUCUCUCACCCAUCUCUUCCUCGCGGUCUCGUGGUACCCACGUGUCGCGCUCGCUAGCCCCCUUGGUAACAUGAAAUUUGUAUCCGCUUCAUCCAUUCAAACGGUUCUUCGCUAAAAGUGUGGGGGCUACGGUUUCUAGCUCUAUCCUAUUAAUUCGUCGAGCUCUGGGCGCCGUCGAUGCCCGGGGCCCCCUGUACUGGCUCUUUUGUAGCAGCUGGCUUUGGCCCCGCCGGCUGGCUGUGGCGCCCACCUUGGCUUGAUCGCGGGUGAAGAUUGCUGGGUAUGGAAAGUUCGGUCCUCACACUCACGCGAAAAUAAUCGUUUGGAUAUAUGAAAUAGAACGCGAACAGAGGUUAAGAAAAGGCAGGGGCAAGCGAGGGAGAAAUUCUUGCCUUGCGUAGUCUAAGUCUAAAGAAAUACAAAAAAAAUCCACUUAUACAAUUUCAUCUACAUUGAAUUUAUAUAUCAGAAUAGCGGAUAGAGGCCUCAUUCAAGGAGUCAGGUCCACUUACUUUAUCUUUCUUUCCAAUUUUAUGGGGUGGGUUGGUUUGAUAAGACCCCUUUUUGCUUUGUUGAGGUACGCAGCGUGAGGUCGCGGACCCAAGAGAAUCAAACAACGUUUGCUGAAUAGAUACAGGAAAUAAGUUCACAGCCUAAGGUACGGGCUGGCGAGUCACCCUCAGGCUGGGGCAAAAAAGGCGCAUGAGCUCUAGUGCCAGUAAAGAAAGGAGAAGAUUGGUGGCGGCGAAAAAAGAAAGUAGAGGAGCUAGGUCACAGUAGGAGCGAAUUAUGGCGAGGAGGGGGGUUUUGAGCCAUAAAAAAACCCCACGUAUCGGUUCCGCUCCCAUGCCCACAGCGUCUCGGAAACUGGGAAGGAAGUGGGGAGUUAAGGUGACGUAUGAACGUGGCUAAACUCCCACCGCCUAACUCCUAGAACGACAGAACAGAAACCGGGCCCAAAUGUCAUUAGACUAGGAGAGUGGUGUCAACCCUGGCCACCUGGGAAAGGUUUUGGUCAGGGCUAACACCGGGGGCUACUGUCCAUGAUAUGGGCCUGGGGGUAUCAUGUUUAGAGGGAGGAGGUCGCCCCCGAACCCACGUGGCGCCCCUCGAGGGGGGUCGGGCCCGAGUUGGACGGGCGGUUGCCCCCUCCCAGCUUAGGGUACCGAGUUUGGAGGGAGUAGGCCGCCCCCAAACCCAUGUGGCACUCCCCCGAGGAGGGUCGGGCCUGGGGUGGAGUGGCUGCUACCCCCUCCUCACUUGGGGGUUGGGCCGUCCCGACCCCCUCGACGCAUCAGCCUACGCGUGCGAGUUGGGUGGGCGCACCCAGCGCCCAGCUAACCGCAUUGAAAGCGGACUGAACGAGCGCAUCACGCCGUAUUUAAUGCGGCGUGCAGCGCGCUUGACCGGUCUGUGACUGGUCGAAUGACCGAUGGGACUAGGGUAGUGCGCCUGCACGCUGCCCAUGUGUCAGUCGGUGCAUCCCCUGUCACAUCGUGAUGAUGGGAGGCUUUUUUAGCCUCUCAUCCCAGCCGGAGUCGAUUCGUCUGACCCGGUCAAAGCAGAGUUUCCAUAUCCCCGCGCAAGUAAGGACCCAAAAGUCUUCACUCAUUAAAUAGCGAAUGACAUGGGCGUCCCCCGUGUCAGGCGACAUAAUUUGAUGGGCCCCACAACCGAGGUGGCGUGCAUGUGGCUUCCAAGUUAAGAAACAAGACAUGCGUUUAAUAAAAAGAUUGUACUCCUUCUCCCCUAGAUAGGUUCUCUGGGCCCAUAUGGUAACCCCUUGAGGUUUAAAAGGAGGUUCAUGCCAUCUAAGGGAGGGGAUGAGCCCUUUUUCAAACACACACUUGAGAUCCUUCGUCUCAAGCGCUUGUAAUCCCCUCAGCUUCAACCAAGCACAGGAGCAAGGUGUUACGCUUCUCAGCGGCCCGAACCUGUAUAAUCCCCUUUUGUCUCAUCUUCUCUGAGGGGCCUGACCCCCUCACUUUCUCUCCCCCAUCACAGGAAUCCUCGAAUCUAACCCGCUACCCUUGGCCGAACUCACAAAGGGGGGCCUCACGGUUCCCUGCUAGAGGAGUUCAUCCUCCGACAGAUAUAUUAUAAUAUAUGUUUUCUCCUAUCCAUAACAAAGCAUGGAGAUUUUGCUAAUAGUAAAUACAUCUCAAAGACAAGUAUAUAUCAUUAUUCAACGAUCGAAAAACAGCUUCCAAUGAAUAUAAUGGUUCACAUCCUUCCUCUGGGCGUGAGGUGGACAUGAAGCGGGUGGAGCUUGUAGGCGGUGAACUGCACGGUGUCCACCUUCUCCUCGUCGCCCUCCGUCAGCCUCCACCCGAACUCCUGCACGAAGCGCGCGAUGGCGGUGCACGCGAUGUGCAUCACCUGUAGGCUCCCUGCGCAGGCCCUCCUCCCGGCGCCGAACGCCAUCGUCUUGUACAUGUCUGCCACCUCCAACCUCCCGCCGGUGAACCUCUCUGGCACCCACUCCUCCGGCGACUCCCACUCCUUCUUGUUCAUGUUGCACCCGUACAGGUUGAUCACCAUCUG